rnacentral:rRNA from 1 species
GCCCUGUUGUCAAUAUGGGCUCUCAAACAGGAUUAGCCUGUUAUCCCUAAGGUAGCUUUUUCUAUCUAUCAUAAGUUUGGAUCUAAAUUAAUGGUCAAGAGAGGUUAAAAAUUCUCUCUAGUUGCCCCAACUAAAUUUUCUUUAUAAGUAUUAUAGCUUUAAAUGAAGCUCUAUAGGGUCUUUUCGUCUUUUUAUGUAAUUCAAGUUUCUUCACUUGAAGAUCAAUUUUUAUAUAUAAAUUAGAGACAGUUUUGCACUCGUAAAUUC